UCAGCAGUCAAAGGAUAUUAGUCAAUGGCCGAAAGGCUGAACCAGUCACCUAGAAGGACGGAUACAUUAAUUUGAUAAAGUCCUAACGGAAAGGAGGAUAAUGACUGUACUUUCCUAUUAAUCCCGACCAAUCUCGUGCCAGCAGUCGCGGUAAUACGAGAGGGGUAAGCAUUAUUCAUCAUUAAUGGGUCUAAAGGGUACGUAGGCUGUAUCAUAAGACUAAAAGGUAUCGAACUAAACGAAUAAGAGCUUUUUAGUAACUGUGAAACUAGAGUGUAAUGGAGGAAAGAGGAACUCCGAGAGUAGGGAUGGAAUCUGUUGAUCCUCGGAAGACCGCUUAAGGCGAAGGCUUCUUUCUAACUAAACACUGACGCUGAGGUACGAAAGUAUGGGGAGCAAAACGGAUUAGAGACCCGUGUAGUCCAUACCGUAAACGAUGAGUGCCUUAGAUUCGUUUUAAUGAGUCUAUAAAUGUAGAUUAAAGCACUCCACCUGGGGAGUACUGCCGCAAGGUGAAACUCAGACAAGUCAUC
rnacentral:rRNA from 1 species